UCUGACCGUCGAUUAUUUACUCGACAAUUCCAAAAAUCAGUGCCAUUCAUUGGCUUUAGCUUUGCCCUUGAACUUGAAAUCUCGUGCCUUAUUCUUUCCUGGGGACUGGUGUUGGAUAUUGAACGGGCGGAGUUACCGCCGGGAUGAUGGAUGAAGGAGAUGAUGGCCUAAACUUGGCUGCGCGCAUUCUCAUUUUCGCGUGGCCUGCCACUAGUGUUUCGCAGAUUCACAAAGGGUGUCACAGGCAUAGCUGGAGGAAGAAAGGCUGGAUUCAUGCAGUUCACACUCCUGUGGAUUCGCUAGUGUUUGGUGGAAACUUUCUGCACAGUUUCAACAUAAGCGGUCAGCUUGCCGUGGCGGACAUUGAAGAAACUACUGCGGUACGUGAGCUGUGCUGUGCAUGUCUGUGAUAUCUUCUACAACUCUACCACGGCAAUGCCUUGUGUGAGCUUUCCAAGGCUUGGAGUUGUGCAUGAAGGUUUCUGUUUUGUUAUGCUCAUACGUCGUUCAUCGAUGUUGCCGUGGAACUGUGUGUGUAUGUGUCUCUGUCUCUCUAUGCCUCUGUGUGUGUGUGUGUGUGUGUGUGUGUCUCUCUCUCUCUCUCUCUCUCUCUCCCUCUCUCUCUCUCCGUCUCUCUCUCUCUCCAUCUCCGUACACUUCACUUUGUACCACUAUGACUCCCUCUGUGUCUUAAAAAUACAAAAUGUGGGGAAACGAUUUCCAUGUGGCCGUGGCUGUUGAAUUUAUUUUCCUGAGAACGAGAAAGUAUUCUGUCUCUGCUGCUAUGUCCUUUGUCGAUGUGAUUUCGACGUGAGCUGCGGGUCAUUCGCGUUGUUUUUAGACGUGCGAGCCAAAUAACGCGAGCUGAACUUUCGCGUCACGUCAGUAAUAACGUGAAUCUUAACCUCUCUAAUAAAAGCUCAAUAUCGAAGAUGUGUAUAUGCAAUAUUUAUGUUUGUACCAUCAUCAACAAUAAUAGAAAACAGGAUCACUGCACUUCGGAGUAUCCAAACAUAAAUAUGUAGUUAUCCUGUCAAGCAAGAUUACAUAACCCCAUGUACUCUUGUGUCAAAGCACAGGAUCUUAUUCUUACAAGGGAAGAGGCUGCACAGUACACGUAUUAUCACAAUUUAUCAGACGUAUUCGGAAUCUGUGGUGGACAAAGCCCCAUUAGACCUUGUACAGAUUAGUGCAAAGAAAAACGUGUGAUGCGUUGAUUCGCCGUACACAUGUCGUAAUAAUCACUGGUGCGUGGAACAUUGCAUCAUAAAAAUGACGUCAACUUGAAAUUCUGUGGUGACAGCAGGGUGUGCGGGAGUUUCACACUCUUCGGGGGUUAUAUACUCUAAUUUCAGAAAUUUUAGGUGCUCACUAUUUUUCAGUAUGAGGGCAAAAGGCCAGGUUAGGCGAACAGAACUUUUAGGUACAGAGAAGCAGCUCCCUAUUGGAUUACGUGUGUUAGUGUCUGUUCGGUGUAUUGAAACUUUAGGUAUGAAACAGACCCACCAAACGUACCGAAAAAAAAGUACACCAACAAUUUGUGAAAUUACAGUACUCUUGUUGUUGGGUGUUGCCGGUUGAGUGCUGUUCACGGCAGCUAUCCUAUGCCUAAAUAUGGGCUUGUAUAUUCUGAUUGUCUGAUCGCUGACAGAUACGGACGCAGCGAAGCUCUCUCCUGCGCCCGCAUGCGCCGAGAUCCCACUGCUGUCAACGGAUGACACUGCAGCCCAGUCGCCAGCGACGGCGGCAGCUGCUGCUGCUGCUGCUUCGUCAGGAGAUGGGAACAGCUCACAAGGCGGCAAGCCACCUCCAUCACCGCCAUCCUGCCUGCUCUCGGACAUGGCCUGUCUCAGCUCGUAUGAGAUUGAUGGCUUGCGACGGCUGCUGGCCGAGCUGAACGUUUCCACGACGAUGGUGAGAGUGUGUCCCGAGGAGCUGGGGGAUCCUGGGGAGCUCAUGUCGACCGUGGAGAUUCUGUUGAACUAGUUUGAAAGCCGGUUUCGCGAGGACAAGGCCACUGGACAUUUUAUGCUCAUACCGGGAAUACAAUCUGAGAAUCUGCGUGUGUCGCCCGCACCAAUACCUGGCAACAUUGUGGAAAUAGUUGCAGUUGAAACAGAGAUUGUAUGCAAGUCCUCAGCUGCUACUGCAUCUCCAAGAAAGACAGCAGGUAUAUCAUCUCGUGACGACCACAUUGAAGUCUGAAUUUGAAGUGCGAAGAUGCUUCAGCAACCACAUCGUACUUUUCCAUUGCUUUCAUUGUGCUUGUACUGUGCAUGUGUGUAACUUGUGGGGUAUACAUGUGAUGACAUUGUAUGCUGGCGACACGGUCAGAUUUUGUCCAUGCGUGUAACGUACACCUGCAUGUUAUGCAUCGAAAAGGAUCUGCCACUUGCGAUCCUGGGACAAGUAUCAGGUCAGCUUUGUCUUGUGUGGGCUGUACCAGAUUGCUGUUCACUUUUCUAUCUGUUGGAUAUGUGACUUUCUGCAAGUCUCUGGUGUAUGGUGGCCACUUCUUUGCUUGUCACUUUGUAUGAUAUUACAUUCUGUAUUCGCUGCUUUCAUGGCGUGGUCUGCAAACUGCAAUCCUUGGGCAAAUGUCAUGUUUGCUAUAAUGUGCUUUGGCCGUCAGCUUGUCUACACGUUGUAGUUGAAUUAUUUUGUUCCACAACUGACUUCCUGAAGUACGGUGGCCACUGCUUUGCAUGGCAUUUUA